GUCUACGGCCAUGCCACGCUGAAUGUGUCCAAUCUCAUCUGAUCUCAGAAGCUAAGCAAGGUUGGGCCUGGUUAGUACUUGGAUGGGAGACCCCUAGGAAUACAGGUGCUAUAGGCA
rnacentral:rRNA from 1 species